rnacentral:misc_RNA from 1 species
GGAUGGAUCAUGUAACACUCUCACUUGGUUGGCCGCGCGCGUGACGCGAGGGAAGAGAGCGGCUCUGCUGCGGCGGUGCCCUCGAUGCCUUCGAGUCCGCGAACCACGCGCCAACCAAUACACACACCUCUUGCACUUGUUACCGUCGAUGGGCGAUAGCCUUUCUGGUUAUUGCCCAUUCGUUUUAUCAUCAUCAUCCUAUUCACUCCCAGUUUACAUUCACAUGAACCAUUUCCACUUCUUGUUGGCGUCAGCCGAUGAUGAGGAUGGAAACAAUCUAUAACCAAAACAACUUUCAACAACGGAUGUCUUGGUUCCCGCAUCGAUGAAGAACGCCGCGAACUGCGAUACUUAAUGUGAAACGCAACACAGCGAGAAUCAUCAAGGUUUCGAACGCACAUUGCGCUGUUGAAGUCUGCUUCGACAGCAUGCCUGUUUGAGAAUCGUUUUCAACCUCACUCUCUUCCCUCCCUCCCUCCCUCGGGGGGGGUGGGGUGAGAGAGUGGACGCUGAGCGCCCCACGGCUGCAAGGUUGUGGGCCGCUUGAAAUGGAGACCCCUAUCUGGGAGCUGCUGCAUCUCGCUCUGCGAAUGCGCAUCUGUGCUGAGACGUGUGCGUAGCAGCAUUCAUUUGCGGCUAUCAUACCCCCUCACAGUGCGCUUGCAGACACGGCAGCCCCCUCAAGGAUAGGAUCGAAGAUCGAUCCCCCUCCUCUCACAAGGAAGGAGAUGAUCAUUCUCAAGGAAGAGAGCGUCUGCUCCCUUUCUUCUCUUUUAAAUCGCGAUCUCAAAUCAAGCAAGACCACCCGCUGAACUUAAGCAUAUCAAUAAGCGGAGGAAAAGAAACUAACAAGGAAGCCCUCAGUAACGGCGAGUGAAGCGGGCUAAGCUCAAAUUUCAAAUCUGCGUCUCUGUGGAGGCGUCGAAUUGUAGUCUAGAGGGGCGUCUUGCGUGGUGCGCCGAGCAUAAGUGCCCUGGAAAGGGCUGUCAGAGAGGGUGCGAACCCCGUCUUUGGCUCGGAAUGCAUCGCCGAUCAAGGGACGUUUCCCACGAGUCGGGUUGUUUGGGACUACAGCCUGAAUUGGGUGGUAGAUGCCAUCUAAAGCUAACUUAUCUGCGGGAGACCGAUAGCGAACAAGUAGCGUGAGCGAAAGAUGAAAGGCACUCUGGAGAGAGAGCCAAAAGGACCUGAAAUUGUUGAAAGGGAAGGGAUUGGAAUCAGUCGUUACCCCGCGGGGAUUCGCCGGUCGCCGGCGUGCCGCGCUGCGGCUCGGAGCCCUCAAAGCCCAGCCGUGGUGAGUCGCGCGUCGGGGGCCGGUUACUUCUCCGUGGGUGUAGGCCAAUAUCAGCUAGUUUGGAUAGGCGCCGGACAAGACUGUCAGGAAGGUAGGGAUCGAGCUGUGUACGCAGCCGGUUCUGUUAUAGCCUGGCGGGGAUCCGGUGCCACUGGCUGAGGAAAACCCUGGUGUGCCAUGCACGCGCCUCGGCGAGAUGCGCGGUCGGACGGCUGUUCGCCUGAAAGGGCGGGCGGUUGGUGCCGGCUGUGGCGUCGUCGGCGUGCAAAGGAUAUUGGCGAAUUGGUUUCCAUCCACCCGUCUUGAAACACGGACCAAGGAGUCCGCCGUCUACGCGAGUAUUUGGGCGGCAAACCCGAAUGCGCAAUGAAAGUGAAGGCGUCAGUGGGCGCUGAGAUGGGACGGCUUGCGUGAAGCGAGCCCGCACCACCGGCCGAUCUGGACCCCUUGCGGUGAAAGAUUUGAGCAAGAGCGUAGCCCGUGGGACCCGAAAGAUGGUGAACUUUGCCUGAGUAGGUUGAAGUCAGUGGAAACACUGAUGGAGGACCGUCGAGAUACUGACGUGCAAAUCGUUCUUCUGACUUGGGUAAAGGGGCGAAAGACUAAUCGAACCAUCUAGUAGCUGGUUCCCUC